rnacentral:rRNA from 1 species
CCUACGGGUGGCUGCAGUGGGGAAUAUUGCACAAUGGGGGGAACCCUGAUGCAGCGACGCCGCGUGGGGGAGGAAGUACUUCGGUAUGUAAAGCCCUAUCAGCAGGGAGGAAAAUGACGGUACCUGACUAAGAAGCCCCGGCUAACUACGUGCCAGCAGCCGCGGUAAUACGUAGGGGGCAAGCGUUAUCCGGAUUUACUGGGCGUAAAGGGAGCGUAGGCGGCGUGCCAAGUCUGGUGUGAAAGGCCGGGGCUCAACCCCGGGACUGCAUUGGAAACUGUCGUGCUGGAGUGCCGGAGGGGCAAGCGGAAUGCCUGGUGUAGCGGUGAAAUGCGUAGAGAUUAGGAGGAACACCGGUGGCGAAGGCGGCUUGCUGGAC